rnacentral:lncRNA from 1 species
CCCAGCCCUUUUAGUUUUUUUAUUUUGAGACAGGGACUCACUAARUUUCUGAGGCUGGCCUUGAACUUGUGAUCCUCCUGCAUCAGUUUCCCCAGUGGCUGGGAUUACAGGUAUGCACUACCACAAGUGGCUAGCCCAAGACUUCUGAGCUGGUGAUAGCCAAGGCAGCCUGAUCAGGAACUUGGGAGGCCAUGACUCUGGCCAUAAGGCAGUUGGCAUGCCUCUGACAGGUGGGGUAUUUGUUUCUUUAGGCAAGGGCACUGGCUGGUGGAAGCCACCUACCACCCUGGCACUGGAUAACCAACAACCCUGGAGAGAGAGCCUCCUAGAGACCAGAAGAGGGAGGCGGCAGGCAGCCCUGRCAGCAGAACUCCUCCCCUUCACCCACCCUUCCCCAGAGCCUUCCAACAGCCUGCCGACCCAGUUUCCCCCAACCCAGAGACGUUUCCUGGAGACAUCCAGAAAGGGAGGGGAAAACAGUGCCUUCUCCUGGGAGCAGACCCCCAAGUCACCCACAGCCAGCACUGAAAGCCACCAGGUAAAACUCUUGACACCGCCUGGCUCAGUCACCUCCUUCAACAGAAGGGGAAAGAGCGCCACAGAGAGGAGAGGGGCCUGGCGUGAAGUCACUUGCCAACUGGCGACAGAACCAAGACUCCCAAACGGCUUCCCCCAUCUCCCCUGGGAUCCAGUGUGAAGGAGCCUUUCAUGGGGUAAGUGAAAUAGGGGCCAGAGAGCCCCUUCUCAGUGAGGCCCUCGCUUGAAGGAAACAGGGGAUGGGACAAGUGCUGCCUGCCAGCCCAGAAGUGGGCAAGACUCAAACGAAGUGUUCCCGGGGCCAGAGAGCCAGGAGGAAGGGCACCCUGCCUGGACCUCUGCCCCUYCCCACAGCUCAGCAGUACCACCUCCUCCUCCAGGAAGCCUGCCCAGCUCCCCCAGGGAUUGGAACCUCUCUGUCCUCUAAGCCCUUGACAGUCCUUUCAUGGGGUCUUUCUUGACCCUCUUAGGUCUGCCUUCCUCUCUGUCAGCCUGACUUUGCCAUACCAGGGCAAGUAUUGUGUCAGAUUUGAUCCCAUCUCCCUCUGCAUGUAGAUGAGGCUCUUGCUCUGCUGUAUGGACAGAUGUGGUGAUGAGAUCUUGUCCCAAAACCAGAGACUGGGACAUGGGUCAAGAGAUGAGACAUCUGUAUAGAGGUCAACAGUGAGGGACCCGGGGUUGGCCGUUCUGAGUGAGGAAUCCCAGUUGCAGGUCCUUGCUCUCUGCCUUUGGAAAAUUCCAUUCCCAUGGAGCCUCAGGGUGUCCACAAGGAUUUGCACAAUUAAAGCAUUUCAAUAAAUGACCAUUCUUAUUAUAGUCA